CUACCCAGAAAUGAAGGAGAUGUUUCUGAAGGAGCCGAUGGAGAAUGUGCCUGCGGCUUCACAUGGCAAUGACAAACCUGAGUCUGUCUUCAUUCUCAGUGACUAGACAAUGACCAGAACUCCCUCGAAGCCAUCAAGAACGUACAGGUGAUCAACCUGGAAUGCCGGAACCGAGGGAAAACCCAGACAGCUGUCUGAAGUUCGUGGCUUUAAUUACAUUGGAGAGCUGGGGAAGUGAAACAAAAC